rnacentral:rRNA from 1 species
AUGAUAUGCUUCUUCGCAGUCGAGUGGCACUUUGUAGACCGUGUGUCAAGACAAUUUGGAAGAAGACAAGGUAUUCCAAUUGAGGAGAGCAAGGAGGAAAUGCUAUCUCUGCAUCGGUUCGAUCGAAGGAACAAUCAGGAUAUAUCAGAUUGGGCAAACAAGCACCGUGCGUGGAUAGAAAUUUGGAAUCAAAGAGAGACGUUAGUGCAGUCAGAGAAUAGACCUCACAAUCAGUCAGCAUAUCAGAAGUAUGAAGUGUGGUAUGCGGAUCGUUACCGGUUAAAGCUCAAGCCUGGUUGGACUCACGAGGAGUGGUCGGAGUUGGUGUCUGAAGACCCGGAGACUGCAGAAGGUUAUCAUACCUUCAACACGGCUGUGAGAGACACCAGAGGGGCUCACGUUGACUAUGCACCAAUGCAUGACGAAAUGGUAGUCAGUUUGACCUAUUCUAACAUACUUGCAUCAUGUUGUCCUCUUUCAAAUACAUAA